rnacentral:rRNA from 1 species
GACGAACGCUGGCGGCGUGCUUAACACAUGCAAGUCGAACGGGUCUGCCCUGUUUUUUGCGGGGUGGGUCAGUGGCGAACGGGUGAGUAACACGUGAGUAACCUGCCCCUCACUUCUGGAUAACCGCUUGAAAGGGUGGCUAAUACGGGGUGUUCUGGCUGUGCCGCAUGGUGUGGCUGGGAAAGAUUCACUUUUGUGGUGUUUUGGUGGGGGAUGGGCUCGCGGCCUAUCAGCUUGGUGGUGGGGUGAUGGCCUGCCAAGGCUUUGACGGGUAGCCGGCCUGAGAGGGUGGGCGGCACUACUGGGACGGAGAGGCGGCCCAGACUCCUGCGGGAGGCAGCAGUGGGGGGUAUUGCACAAUGGGCGGAAGCAUGAUGCAGCGACGUCGCGGGAGGGAUGGAGGCCGUCGGGUUGUGAACCUCUUUCGCCGGUGAAGAAGGUCCUGCUCUUUGUGGUGGGGUUGACGGUAGCCGGGUUAUGAAGCGCCGGCUAACUACGUG